AUAUUACAGAAGCACAUAGCAAUAAUGCACAGGUUAUUAGGGAUGACUCUCCCCACAACCAGUGCAGGCUCAAUGUGGUGCAGCAAACAUCAAUUGUACAUGCAAGUAGCGAUAUAACAAAAAAUAUAAUCAACAUGGUGUAAAAGAUUUCCAGAACCUCCUAGAAAGAGGUUAUGUAAACAACAGUCACACAUACGCCUUCUUCAGCAGCCAAGAGAUAGUCCAAUACUAAUCUGUUGUCCAUUGCUUCAUGUGUGAGGGAAUCCAAUGAUCCCUGCAAGUUUUUGAAGUCCUGCAACACUCUUUUUAUGUGUUAGGGAAUCCAAUGAUUCCAACAGCUUUUGAAGUCCUACAAUUUUUGAUGUCCAUGAAUCAAAUGCCAUAACUGCCAUGCUCAUUCAGUGGUGAGCACAGUCAGCCACGGAACCACCCGAUGUUUCUUGGGCCUUCUCCUUCCUUUCAUCUCUCUCGGAUGGACAAGGUGAAUUCGGCUCAUUGGCAGCCAUCUGAAUCCUUCUCCACCUGUGGAGAUACAAGCAAACCCUCUCCCCCAAGCAGUUUACCUGUCUGGUCCCUUCCAUUCACCACUUUCUGGGUCUCUCCACAUCAUCUGGCGAUUAUCUAAAGAUAGUGGAGCCCCUCACACUGGAUACUGCCCUUCCGGUGGGUUAUAAAACCUGCCUGCCAGAGCCAGUAAAUCUUUGUGAAAAAUCAAGAAAUUAAUAGUAUAAAGAACAAGAUUUAAAAGUUCUCUAGGGUUGCCUGUGGCUCCCCCUUUUAUUUUUGGAGGAACGUCUUAAUGUCUCUGUUUCUCCUCUCUACUACUGUCUGUACUUGAGGAUUAAAAGGUAUGCUAAUGGCAUGUAAAAUCUUAUACCUGUGCACAAAAGUGUGCAAAAUGUUUAGAAGUAUAUGAGG
rnacentral:lncRNA from 1 species